rnacentral:rRNA from 1 species
GAUGAACGCUGGCGGCGUGCCUAAUACAUGCAAGUCGAGCGAACGGACGAGAAGCUUGCUUCUCUGAUGUUAGCGGCGGACGGGUGAGUAACACGUGGAUAACCUACCUAUAAGACUGGGAUAACUUCGGGAAACCGGAGCUAAUACCGGAUAAUAUUUUGAACCGCAUGGUUCAAAAGUGAAAGACGGUCUUGCUGUCACUUAUAGAUGGAUCCGCGCUGCAUUAGCUAGUUGGUAAGGUAACGGCUUACCAAGGCAACGAUGCAUAGCCGACCUGAGAGGGUGAUCGGCCACACUGGAACUGAGACACGGUCCAGACUCCUACGGGAGGCAGCAGUAGGGAAUCUUCCGCAAUGGGCGAAAGCCUGACGGAGCAACGCCGCGUGAGUGAUGAAGGUCUUCGGAUCGUAAAACUCUGUUAUUAGGGAAGAACAUAUGUGUAAGUAACUGUGCACGUCUUGACGGUACCUAAUCAGAAAGCCACGGCUAACUACGUGCCAGCAGCCGCGGUAAUACGUAGGUGGCAAGCGUUAUCCGGAAUUAUUGGGCGUAAAGCGCGCGUAGGCGGUUUUUUAAGUCUGAUGUGAAAGCCCACGGCUCAACCGUGGAGGGUCAUUGGAAACUGGAAAACUUGAGUGCAGAAGAGGAAAGUGGAAUUCCAUGUGUAGCGGUGAAAUGCGCAGAGAUAUGAAGGAACACCAGUGGCGAAGGCGACUUUCUGGUCUGUAACUGACGCUGAUGUGCGAAAGCGUGGGGAUCAAACAGGAUUAGAUACCCUGGUAGUCCACGCCGUAAACGAUGAGUGCUAAGUGUUAGGGGGUUUCCGCCCCUUAGUGCUGCAGCUAACGCAUUAAGCACUCCGCCUGGGGAGUACGACCGCAAGGUUGAAACUCAAAGGAAUUGACGGGGACCCGCACAAGCGGUGGAGCAUGUGGUUUAAUUCGAAGCAACGCGAAGAACCUUACCAAAUCUUGACAUCCUUUGACAACUCUAGAGAUAGAGCCUUCCCCUUCGGGGGACAAAGUGACAGGUGGUGCAUGGUUGUCGUCAGCUCGUGUCGUGAGAUGUUGGGUUAAGUCCCGCAACGAGCGCAACCCUUAAGCUUAGUUGCCAUCAUUAAGUUGGGCACUCUAAGUUGACUGCCGGUGACAAACCGGAGGAAGGUGGGGAUGACGUCAAAUCAUCAUGCCCCUUAUGAUUUGGGCUACACACGUGCUACAAUGGACAAUACAAAGGGCAGCGAAACCGCGAGGUCAAGCAAAUCCCAUAAAGUUGUUCUCAGUUCGGAUUGUAGUCUGCAACUCGACUACAUGAAGCUGGAAUCGCUAGUAAUCGUAGAUCAGCAUGCUACGGUGAAUACGUUCCCGGGUCU